rfam:Phytophthora nicotianae strain race 0 contig1403, whole genome shotgun sequence.
CCGAGUGUAGCUCAGUUGGUAGAGCGAUUGACUGUAGUGUUCUAUACUGUGUUUCAGUAUACUCGGAAAUCAAUUGGUCGCUGGUUCGAUUCCGGCCACUCGGA